AACGUAUUAGCGGAAGUUUUCGGAUGGAAGCGGAUAUGACUUAGCGGCGGACGGGUGAGUAACGCGUGGAUAACCUGCCUCAUACAGGGGGAUAACAGUUAGAAAUGACUGCUAAUACCGCAUAAGCGCACAGGACCGCAUGGUCCGGUGUGAAAAACUCCGGUGGUCUGAGAUGGAUCCGCGUCUGAUUAGCUGGUUGGUGAGGUAACGGCCCACCAAGGCGACGAUCAGUAGCCGACCUGAGAGGGUGGCCGGCCACAUUGGGACUGAGACACGGCCCAAACUCCUACGGGAGGCAGCAGUGGGGAAUAUUGCACAAUGGGGGAAACCCUGAUGCAGCAACGCCGCGUGAGUGAAGAAGUAUUUCGGUAUGUAAAGCUCUAUCAGCAGGGAAGAAGAAAGACGGUACCUGACUAAGAAGCCCCGGCUAACUACGUGCCAGCAGCCGCGGUAAUACGUAGGGGGCAAGCGUUAUCCGGAUUUACUGGGUGUAAAGGGAGCGUAGACGGCUGUGCAAGUCUGAAGUGAAAGCCCGUGGCUCAACCGCGGAACUGCUUUGGAAACUGUAUAGCUUGAGUACUGGAGAGGCAGGCGGAAUUCCUAGUGUAGCGGUGAAAUGCGUAGAUAUUAGGAGGAACACCAGUGGCGAAGGCGGCCUGCUGGACAGAAACUGACGUUGAGGCUCGAAAGCGUGGGGAGCAAACAGGAUUAGAUACCCUGGUAGUCCAC
rnacentral:rRNA from 1 species